GUAGUCGCGAGGCUGGGUCUGAAGGAAGUCCGAGGCAAACUUCCGAACCGACGGACAGAAAUCACAUAUAAGGCUGUAUCAGUGGACGAGUUUACAAAGAGUGACGAAAUCCACACUACAACUGAUGCAGUAAAUGUGGCGGUUGCCUGGAAGGAAAGUCAUUAUU
rfam:Candidatus Marispirochaeta sp. JC444 Contig2, whole genome shotgun sequence.